GAUGAACGCUGGCGGCGUGCUUAACACAUGCAAGUCGAACGAAGCACUCUAUUUGAUUUUCUUCGGAAAUGAAGAUUUUGUGACUGAGUGGCGAACGGGUGAGUAACGCGUGGGUAAACCUGCCUCAUACAGGGGGAUAACAGUUGGAAACGACUGCUAAUACCGCAUAAGCGCACGGUAUCGCAUGGUACAGUGUGAAAAACUCCGGUGGUAUGAGAUGGACCCGCGUCUGAUUAGCUAGUUGGUGGGGCAACGGCCUACCAAGGCGACGAUCAGUAGCCGACCUGAGAGGGUNACCGGGCCACAUUGGGACUGAGACACGGGCCCAAAACUCCUACGGGAGGCAGCAGUGGGGAAUAUUGCACAAUGGGGGAAACCCUGAUGCAGCGACGCCGCGUGAA
rnacentral:rRNA from 1 species